rnacentral:rRNA from 1 species
AGUGAACGCUGGCGGUAGGCCUAACACAUGCAAGUCGAACGGCAGCACAGUAAGAGCUUGCUCUUACGGGUGGCGAGUGGCGGACGGGUGAGGAAUACAUCGGAAUCUACUUUUUCGUGGGGGUUAACGUAGGGAAACUUACGCUAAUACCGCAUACGACCUACGGGUGAAAGCAGGGGAUCUUCGGACCUUGCGCGAUUGAAUGAGCCGAUGUCGGAUUAGCUAGUUGGCGGGGUAAAGGCCCACCAAGGCGACGAUCCGUAGCUGGUCUGAGAGGAUGAUCAGCCACACUGGAACUGAGGCACGGUCCAGACUCCUACGGGAGGCAGCAGUGGGGAAUAUUGGACAAUGGGCGCAAGCCUGAUCCAGCCAUACCGCGUGGGUGAAGAAGGCCUUCGGGUUGUAAAGCCCUUUUGUUGGGAAAGAAAAGCAGCAGGUUAAUACCCCGCUGUUCUGACGGUACCCAAAGAAUAAGCACCGGCUAACUUCGUG